rnacentral:rRNA from 1 species
AUUGAACGCUGGCGGCAUGCUUUACACAUGCAAGUCGAACGGUAACAGGCCGCAAGGUGCUGACGAGUGGCGAACGGGUGAGUAAUGCAUCGGAACGUGCCCAGUCGUGGGGGAUAACGCAGCGAAAGCUGUGCUAAUACCGCAUACGAUCUGUGGAUGAAAGCGGGGGACCGAAAGGCCUCGCGCGAUUGAAGCGGCCGAUGUCAGAUUCGGUAGUUGGUGGGGUAAAGGCUCACCAAGCCAACGAUCUGUAGCUGGUCUGAGAGGACGACCAGCCACACUGGGAGUGAGACACGGCCCAGACUCCUAAGGGAGGCAGCAGUGGGGAAUUUUGGACAAUGGGCGCAAGCCUGAUCCAGCAAUGCCGCGUGCAGGAAGAAGGCCUUCGGGUUGUAAGCUGCUUUUGUACGGAGCGAAAAGGCUCUCUCUAAUACAGGGUGCUCAUGACGGUACCGUAAGAAUAAGCACCGGCUAACUACGUGCCAGCCGCCGCCGUAAUAC